AGCGAACGCUGGCGGCAGGCCUAACACAUGCAAGUCGAACGAUCCUUCGGGAUAGUGGCGGACGGGUGAGUAACACGUGGGAACGUGCCCUUUGGUUCGGAACAACUCAGGGAAACUUGAGCUAACACCGGAUGUGCCCUUCGGGGGAAAGAUUUAUCGCCAUUGGAGCGGCCCGCGUCUGAUUAGCUAGUUGGUGAGGUAAUGGCUCACCAAGGCGACGAUCAGUAGCUGGUCUGAGAGGAUGAUCAGCCACACUGGGACUGAGACACGGCCCAGACUCCUACGGGAGGCAGCAGUGGGGAAUCUUGCGCAAUGGGCGAAAGCCUGACGCAGCCAUGCCGCGUGAAUGAUGAAGGUCUUAGGAUUGUAAAAUUCUUUCACCGGGGACGAUAAUGACGGUACCCGGAGAAGAAGCCCCGGCUAACUUCGUGCCAGCCGCCGCCGUAAUAC
rnacentral:rRNA from 1 species